rnacentral:rRNA from 1 species
UGCAGUCGUACGAGAGUUUAGAACUCAAGUGGCGGACGGGUGAGUAACACGCUGUAGAAUUUACCUUUAGGAGGGGGAUAACAAUUGGAAACGAUUGCUAAUACCCCAUAUGCUUUCGAGUGAAAUAGAGUUAUCUGCCUAAAGAGAAGCUCGCGGCUGAUUAGCUUGUUGGUAAGGUAAUGGCUUACCAAGGCGACGAUCAGUAUCUGGUUUGAGAGGACGAUCAGACACAUUGGAACUGAGACACGGUCCAGACUCCUACGGGAGGCAGCAGUGGGGAAUUUUCCGCAAUGGGCGAAAGCCUGACGGAGCAAUACCGCGUGAGGGAAGACGGCCCAUGGGUUGUAAACCUCUUUUUUCAGUGAGGAAACAAAUGACGUGUAGCUGAAGAAUAAGCAUCGGCUAACUCCGUGCCAGCAGCCGCGGUAAGACGGAGGAUGCAAGUGUUAUCCGGAAUCACUGGGCGUAAAGCGUCUGUAGGUGGUUAA